UACGUAGGGGGCAAGCGUUGUCCGGAUUUAUUGGGCGUAAAAGGCUUGUAGGUGGCCACGCCAAGUCGGAUGUGAAAUCUCCCGGCUCAACUGGGAGGGGUCAUUCGAUACUGGCGGGCUCGAGGCCGGUAGGGGGAAGUGGAAUUCCCGGUGUAGUGGUGGAAUGCGCAGAUAUCAGGAGGAACACCGAUGGCGAAGGCAGGUCUCUGGGCCGAUACUGACGCUGAGGAGCGAAAGCGUGGGGAGCGAACAGG
rnacentral:rRNA from 1 species